rnacentral:rRNA from 1 species
GUAUUUCGGUAUGUAAACUUCUAUCAGCAGGGAAGAAAAUGACGGUACCUGACUAAGAAGCCCCGGCUAACUACGUGCCAGCAGCCGCGGUAAUACGUAGGGGGCAAGCGUUAUCCGGAUUUACUGGGUGUAAAGGGAGCGUAGACGGUUAUGUAAGUCUGAUGUGAAAACCCGGGGCUCAACCCCGGGGACUGCNUUGGAAACUNUGUAACUAGAGUGUCGGAGAGGUAAGUGGAAUUCCUAGUGUAGCGGUGAAAUGCGUAGAUAUUAGGAGGAACACCAGUGGCGAAGGCGGCUUACUGGACGAUGACUGACGUUGAGGCUCGAAAGCGUGGGGAGCAAACAGG